CCUACCCUUAAGCAGGAGGUUCUGGGACUGUAAGCUGAAGAAUGAAAUCAACCUUUCCCUCCCCAAGUUGCUUUUGGUCAUGGAAUUUAUUACAGAAACAGAACACAAAUGAGAACCACUGGCUGCCACCCACCCCAUCGCUAAGAAUGCCAUCAGGUAGCAUCUAUGGCAGAGGCCUCCUGCUUCACUGGAACCACCCCCUGGCACUCUCCUAACAUACCUGAAAACUGCCUUGUGCUAUGGCUUUCUUUGUUCUGUUGCUGUGCAGUGCGACCAGCGUAUCGCACUCCUGCUGCUGUGCCUUCGCCGUCAUGAUGGACUGUCCCCUCAAAGUGUGAGCUCAAUACGCCCUUCCUUAAGUUUCUUCUGCCAGACAAUUUGUCACAGCGAUGAGAUGCUAAUACAAUCAUCA